GCUAGUGUAACUUAAUUCAAAGUAUGGCACUGAAGAUGCUAAGAUGAAAAAUCGAAAUUUCCACAAGCA
rnacentral:tRNA from 1 species